rnacentral:misc_RNA from 1 species
GAUGAAGAACGCAGCGAAAUGCGAUAAGUAAUGCGAAUUGCAGAAUUCAGUGAGUCAUCGAAUCUUUGAACGCACAUUGCGCCCUGUGGUAUUCCGCAGGGCAUGCCUGUUCGAGCGUCAUUUCAACCCUCAAGCCCCGCUUGGUGUUGGGCCCCGCCCGCCGUGGCCGGCCCUAAAGACAGUGGCGGCGCCGCCUGGCCCUCAGCGUAGUACAGCUCUCGCUCCAGGGUCCGGCGGCCGCCUGCUAGAACCCCCCCAACUCUGUGGUUGACCUCGGAUCAGGUAGGGAUACCCGCUGAACUUAAGCAUAUCAAUAAGCGGAGGA